rnacentral:lncRNA from 1 species
CUGGCCAUUGAAGCAGGGAGCUUUGUGAUGAAGUUGGAGAAGCAGGAAGGGUCCAAUCAUUCCAAGCCCUUGCCUCAUUAUAGUAUAUUUUGAGGGAAAAAGUUGAAAGGACUUGCUGUGAAUUAGAUAGAGGAGGAGAACAGGCUUGAGGGAGAGAGGAAUCCAUGGUUCAUGUUCAUGGUGUCAUGUUUGAGAUGCCUGUGACAUGUCCACGUUUCAACCCUGAUAAAGAGUUGGAUUUCUCAAAGUCCUGCAGUGGCCACAGGACACUGUAGAAGCUGACCCCUUUACUUACUUCUCCAACUCAUUUACUACUUUUCCCCACUCUCAUUCUGUGCCUCAGACAUGCCAAGGUGCACUCCAGACUCAACACCCUUGAACAUAAUGUGUAGCCUGCAUUAUGUUUUCAUAAUUGAAAUCUUUAAAAUUAGGCUACUAUGACCUGCACAAGUGCAUACAGUGGUUGAUAUAGUUUGAGUAUUUGUCCCCACAUCUCAUGUUGAAUUAUAAUCCCCAAUGUUGGAGGUGGGGCUUUGUGGGAGGUGUUUGGGUCAUGAGGGUGGAUCCUUCAUGGCUUGGUGCUAUCCUUGCCAUACUGAGUGAGUUCUCACGAGUUGUAAUUGAUUAAGUGUGUGACACUUCCUCCCCUACUCUCUCUUGCUCCCGCUCAGCCAUGUG